rnacentral:lncRNA from 1 species
ACUUUAUACUAAAAUUUAUCUUUCUACCAGUAGGUCUUCUAUUACACAUUGUGGUAAGUUUUCCAAUAUUUUUUUACAAACAGUAUUCUUGUUAUCUGAAUAUGUUCAAUACAAUUAAAAGGGUAAUACAGUGAAUAAUGGAUAAACCGAACCAUGUAUAAAUCGAAAACCUGUACAAACCAAACUUGUUUUUAACACCAACUGUGUGUGUUUCUGAAUCGAUAAAACAGAACAUCGGCCAAAACCGAACGAAUUCUUAAGUUCAGAAGAAGUUCGGGUUAAACAGGCUUUACUGUAACAGAGUAUUCCAUCAUAUCAAAAUUAUAAAUUUAAGCUCAGUCAAAUAUGCAAGUAAAUUUAAUUAAAAGAUAAAAAUCUUACUUUACUUAAACAAUUAACCAAAAGUUGCUUAUUCGUUAAAUUCUAUGUAAUCUUUUUACCUGACAUUAGUCUAUUGUUUUUUUCAUUGUCUGGUUAUGAUAGACUGAUGUCUUUUGUCGAAUAAUACCCUUUUUAUACUCUAUAUUUAAUAAUAAGAUACAGUACACUACUUUUAUUCAAAUCAAACAAACAGCAAACUUAAUUAAUAGGCAGAAAUUAUUUAAGAGUUUGACAAGACACACAGACAUUCGAACACCGAACAGACUAAAAUACAAACCUUGCUAGCGAUGAAAAAUCAUUGUAAAGUCAUAAGUCAUAUUUAAGUGUACUGAAAUUUGAAAUCAGCUACGUUAGCCAUAUUACAUAAUUUUUUAUAGCCUAGUAACAAAUAUAUAUUCUGAAUUAGUUAGUCCAUUGUCAAGCACUAUUCGGGUUCUGUUACAUUUCCGUUAUAGAAUAACUUCUCUGAAAUAUUGUAUGUUGAUAUUCUACAACACAUACUUUUCUUAAUAUAUACGCUAUCAAAACAAGUAAUUAAGUUUUAUCUUACAAUACGUCAUACCAAAUUUGUAAAUGUUCGGAUGUUUUCCUACCCCUAAACUAAACUGAACAUAGAAUGUUGAUUUUCAAACACGUUUUUGCUAAAAAAAAGACUGUAAUCCUCAUAAACAACAAUGACACUUAUAAUUGAAAAUCACAAAGAACAAAAUUUAAAACCAAAAAAAUCGAUACGAAUCCCUAACAAAAAUAAUUUUAAAAAAACAUUUGACAGUCCGAUUUCCCACUUCCGAUUUUAACAAAUAAAAAGUGAACUACAGUGGUAUUGGUAGUUAAUGCUCGUUAUCAAUAUAUUUCUAAAGCAAAACUAAACACCACUGCAAUGCUUACACGUCAAUGUCAUUUCAUACACCAUCCAAACCCUUCUGUUGGUAACUUGGGACUUUUGUUUUUAAACUGUUACAUGUUUUAAGGAACUUGAAAUUAGCCAUCAAACUAUAACAUUUAGUGCGCACAGGCUCACUGCUCUUACUUCUGAAUUCGGUAGACGAAAUGCGCGUUUAAAAUUUCAAUCCUCUUUAGAUAAUGAGUUUAUUUCUAAAUAACCUGGAAUAUAAACUGAUAAAGACGAGUUUUAUUUCAGUAUUAUAAUGAAGUGCUGUUGUUUGGUUGUUUUCAUAUUUUGCACAAUCGAUGUGUCAAAUGGCGGCAGUAAGUAUCCUUUAUGUUUAAACCGCAGUAGUGAAGAUUAAACAUUCAGCUGCUAGACUCUCUCAUAAUAUAAAAGGUACGAUCCUUUCACUCUGAUCAAACGUUCAGCAUUCGAGAGCCAAACGAGACAGACAGAGUAAGAACCUAUUCAUGUUACAGAUUUUCAAUCAUGUUAACACAGUUAUCUACCAUUUGUGUUUAUAGUAAUUUGGGGAUAAACACCUUCAAUUUAUAACGAUAAUUUCAGUUCAUUUGUCGAGCUGCAAAGCUGUACAAAACUGUUCAACACUACUUUCAUGGGUUGACAUAAGAAUAAAAAAAAAACUGCAUUAAGGAAGAACUGAUUUUAAAACGUCUAAGCAGAUUUACGAGCAUCUCGAUCAAAUUCAGUAAAAUUUAUCUAUGAGAAAUCAUACCGCAGCAUCAAUAUAUAUAUUUAUAUAUAUACAUGUUUUUUUCUAAAAGUUCACAAAAUUCUUCUUUGUGUCCUAUAUUCAACAUGGUUAAGCAAAUGAAUUUGAGAAACAGACAAUGUCUUAUAUCUAUAGUCAUAUUGUGUAAUGUUCAUGUAUAUAUAUAUAUCAAAGUAUAAUCAUGCUAUACUGUAUUGGAGUACUGUACUAUUCAGUUCUUUCCGGGAUAUGCCUCGCCUCCAAUGGUACCUGUGGAAAGAAAGGUGUUCCAUGUAAAGAAACAUUCGGCUCUGAAUGGACGUAUACCGGAAAAUGCUGCAAUGAACGACCAUGCUGCAAAU